rnacentral:lncRNA from 10 species
GCUGUUCUCUAGUAGCCGGAGCACAGGUUUGGGGUAGGACAGACAGGUCGGACAAGAGUCAUGGUCUUGGCUUUGCUCCUUCCUUACUAUGUGACCCUGGUUUCCAGAAAGGUGGGAUUUUGCCUUGAGCCUGCCCAGCUCGGCACUCAUGACAAAGCCUGGCAUAUAGUAGGCUCUUUGGAAGUGUUCCCGUGCCAAAGAAGGAAAGAACCAUCCAGAAGGCAGGUAGACCCUGAGGGCGAAGAGGAUGCUUGGACCUGGAGAAAGGCCUGGAAGGAGACGCCUGAGCCUGCCAACACUGGGAGCUGGGGAAGCAAUGACCAGCUGACACAACGCUGCGUCACUUGUUCCAAUGUGCAUUUGUUAUUUUGUGUUUUGAAAAAGCGACUAAGAAAACCUUUAAAUGAAAAAGAGACUGAAUAAACAAGUGCUUUAAUGACAAC